AACAAUGACCUGCGGGAUUCAGGAGUGAAGCUUCUGUCUGCUGCACUGCAGAGUCCACAUUGUACACUGGAAACUCUCAGAUUGAAGGACUGUGGUUUGUCAGAGAUCAGCUGUGAUUAUCUGGCAGCAGCGCUGAAGUCCAACCCCUCGUAUCCCAGAGUGCUGGACCUGAGUGGAACCUACAACAACCUGCAGGAUUCAGGAGUGAAGCAGCUGUGUGUUCUUCUGGAGAAUCCACGAUGUCGAUUUGAAACUCUGAGAUUGAAGGACUGUGGUUUGUCAGAGAUCAGCUGUGAUUAUCUGGCAGCAGCGCUGAAGUCCAACCCCUCGUAUCCCAGAGUGCUGGACCUGAGUGGAACCUACAACAACCUGCAGGAUUCAGGAGUGAAGCAGCUGUGUGUUCUUCUGGAGAAUCCACGAUGUCGAUUUGAAACUCUGAGGUCAGUCACAUGUUUUAGUUGUGCUGAGAUGAAUAUGAUGUGAAAGUUGUGCUGACACUGUGGAUCAGUAGGCCCACACACCUCUAUACAGGAAGUCUGGUUCUACUCUUUGUAGAACUUCUGAUCCCUGAUCCUCUGAGUCUGACUCAGUAGAUAAUGCAGAGUUCUGAGCUGAUGUGGGUGAGAGGACUCAGGCAGCCUGACAGAGUUGAUGUCCAGGUCUUCCCUGCUUGUCCUGAUACACAUAAACAUGAGU